ACUGUAUAUGUGGAACCGACACAUCUAAGAGUUCUUUCCUCAAGUAGAAAUCUAAACGCUUCAUUCCAGUGUUACAGAGGGAUAGGUAACAUUUAAACAGCUGGCCUUAAUGUUUGUACCCCGGAAACUCUUCCCUGCCUUUAACUGUUAGAAAACGUGCACAACAUUGAACAUACGGUUUCUCCAGUACUUCCUGUGGGAAUGAUAUGUUCUUACUGAAGGAAUUGUGCAGGUCGAGCGCUUCCAUUGUAACUGCAGCCUGCUUUCCCAGUGGCACUGUGCUGCUCGGUGUUUGUGUGUUCUGUGAAAGUCGGCGGCGCUCCUGAUGGUUUUCUCAGGCAGAUUUUCCCCAAGCAUUAAUCUUGCUCUCCUUUCCCUCUCUGAUGUAACUCAGCUCAGCCUGUGAGUCAGGGCAAUCGCGAGAUCCCAGGUACCUGCAGCCUCAUUCCAUGCCUCCCCUGUCAAAUGCAGCAAAUACUCAGCAUCCCAGGAUGGAGCCGGGGGUUCUCAUCUUCCUGCUGUACGUGAUGAUCAUCCACGAACUGGUUUGUGGCUGGAUGGAGUAUCAGAGGCAGGCGGCCAAACCCAAGAAACAAGCCCGUCCCGUCUGGUCUUCCAGUUAUGUGAAACCCGGAAGUCUAACACACUCCAGGACUCCAAACCGUUAUACAAAACGUGAGAAAUUCCGAGAUUGGAAGAAGUCUGGACGCAUAGUGAGAAAAGCAUGAACACAAAAUGAAAAUUAGAACUGGGUAUCAACAUGGAAAUCUGUCAUGUUCUUAAUAUGUGUAUGACUAUGUGAUUCCAAGGAGCUGCCAAUAUUUGCCUUGGUGUGUUGAUGCACUCUACCACAUCUAACAACCUUCCAGUGUCAUGUAGUCUUUACAAAGGAAACACAUCAUGUGGUAACGAUAGGAAUUUUAAUGUGUACUUUAUUUUACACAAGAAACAAAUGACUUUGUGUUAUUUAUUGCUGUGAUGAGUUAAUAUAUUAUUAUGUAUGGCAGAGCUGGGACCGUUAUCAGUAAUGUGAUUUGUUGACAUUGAUACAGAGCAGUGCUACACACCAAUUUCUGUCAGGAAGCCUUGUGUACUCUACACACAACAUUUCCAAAACUGCAUUAAUUCACAGCAACCCAUUUGAAAAUGUGCAACAGUGGAGAAGGGUAAGAGUAAUAUCAAAGCAUAAGGACACACAGGAUUGACAGAUUUGAAAUACAGUCAGUUCUGCUAUAACGUGAUAGUUGUGUUCCUGUGCAGCAUCAUGCUAUAGAAAGUUGCACUUUGAAAUAACAGGGCCUAUGGGAAAAGUGGUGUUAGGGGCAGACCACCAAAAAAAAUCACUCAAAAUCGCUCAAAAAUCACUCAAAAGCCUAACACAAAGGAUAGCACAAUUUUAAUAAAUGUUUAAUUCCUAUCUAAUAAUGAAAUAAAAGUAAAUUUAAUGCUAUACCCUGAAAAAAUGUCAAGGUGACUUGAUGGGAGAGGAGGCUGUACUAUACAGAAAGCACUUCAUGACAAAGCCAGUGAAAUGAUCAUGUGACGCCAGCAUGGAGAUUCUUUUGGUGCUAACAUUGUAUGUAUUCAUGACAAAGUCCAUGAAACGAUCAUGUGAAGUUGAUGCAUAGUCCUCUGCGUACUAAUGGAAUCACUUUACAGCCAACACAAGUUUGCAUUUUAGAAAUAGCAUUCCCCUAUUCGUCAGUCACGUUACAGCGAAUUUGCAUUGCCAGAACACACGUUAUAGCAGAACCAACUGUAGGACUCUAGAGGACAGCUGACCUCCCAUAACACACUUUGAUAGUCAAGAGUUGAAGUCUUAAACUCAGUUUGUGUACUGCUAUGCCAAAUUAGCAUGCAAGUGGAGAGGGAGAAACAUAGUCUCUGAAUAUGAUUGGAAUUCUAUUUUAGUCACAUAUCUUUAAUAAAGGAUGAUUGACAUUUACAAAUGUGCAGCGCACAUUAAGAUCCACAUCAAACAUGCUUUCCUGUUACAUGGAAUACAUGUAAUUAAUCUUAAAGAACGACUGAAGACAAUCUUCAUGUCACAAACCCACUGUUUGAAAACGUUGCAUCUUUAGUUCUGAGUAUUAAAAUACCAUUUUUUUGUUUUUAACAAAUGCAUGUUGUUUCUGUUCUAAAAUGUGCAAAAGUAUUUUCUUUAAUGUAGAAAUAGUGAAUAUUAAAACACAGAAAGCAUGUGAGACAAGAGAAAUUCGCAGUAUCACUGGACUAAAUUUUAAAUAUCAAAUUACUUUUUAUUGAAAUAAAUGCCUCAAUAAUUUACAUGGAAAACCUUGCCACAAUGUUUUUUACAGAUGAAAAAUCCCUAUGUCAGAAGAGUCUUGCAUGAUCUGUGGAAAUGUCACAAAAAAACACCCAAACAUCUACUUUCUGAUAUAUUCCUAUGAUUCUGGAUGUCCAAUCUGUAAUUAUUAAAGACCUAUGUUGAAUGA